rnacentral:lncRNA from 1 species
GGAUUAAAGUAAUCUUGUUUCUGAAAGUAGAUUAUCCAGUUUGACCACGUGAUUUGUUAAAUGGCCGCUCUUGCCUCGAAUGUCUCCAGCACAGAAACUUCGAAAACCAGAAAAAAAAGUUUGAGAAACUGGACAGACCAGGCUGUAUAUAUAUUAAUUGACAUAUGGAGGGAAUACGUCAACGAAAUUCGUAAAGGGGUAAAAUAUACACAAAUGCCUCAACUGUGGAACAAAAUUGGAACCAACGAGUUAAUCUACAUUUACGGAGUUGCAGUGUAGACGAGAUUUAAUCCUCUAUUAGAUAUUCC